rnacentral:rRNA from 1 species
AAGAACAAGUAGCGUAGUAACUGCGCUACCUUGACGGUACCUUGUUAGAAAGCACGGCUAACUACGUGCAGCAGCGCGGUAUACGUAGUUGCAGCGUUGUCCGGAAUUAUUGGGCGUAAAGCGCGCGCAGGUGGUUCCUUAAGUCUGAUGUGAAAGCCCCCGGCUCAACCGGGGAGGGUCAUUGGAAACUGGGGAACUUGAGUGCAGAAGAGGAUAGUGGAAUUUCAAGUGUAGCGGUGAAAUGCGUAGAGAUUUGGAGGAACACCAGUGGCGAAGGCGACUGUUUGGUCUGUAACUGACACUGAGGCGCGAAAGCGUGGGGAGCAAACAGGAUUAGAUACCCUGGUAGUUCACGCCGUAAACGAUGAGUGCUAAGUGUUGGGGGGUUUCCGCCCCUCAGUGCUGCAGCUAACGCAUUAAGCCCUCCGCCUGGGGAGUACGGUUGCAAGACUGAAACUCAAAGGAAUUGACGGGGGCCCGCACAAGCGGUGGAGCAUGUGGUUUAAUUUGAAGCAACGCGAAGAACCUUACCAGGUCUUGACAUCCCGGUGACCCCUAUGGAGACAUAGUUUCCCCUUUGGGGGCAACGGUGACAGGUGGUGCAUGGUUGUUGUCAGCUUGUGUUGUGAGAUGUUGGGUUAAGUCCCGCAACGAGCGCAACCCUUAUUUUUAGUUGCCAUCAUUCAGUUGGGCCCUUUAAGGAGACUGCCGGUGAUAAACCGGAGGAAGGUGGGGAAGACGUCAAAUCAUCAUGCCCCUUAUGACCUGGGCUACACACGUGCUACAAUGGACGGUACAAACGGUUGCCAACCCGCGAGGGGGAGCUAAUCCGAUAAAACCGUUUUCAGUUUGGAUUGUAGGCUGCAACUUGCCUACAUGAAGCCGGAAUCGCUAGUAAUCGCGGAUCAGCAUGCCGCGGUGAAUACGUUCCCGGGCCUUGUACACCCCGCCCGUCACCCCCCGAGAGUUUGUAACCCCCGAAGUCGGUGAGGUAACCUUUAUGGAGCCAGCCGCCG